rnacentral:lncRNA from 1 species
UCACGUUUGCUUCCUCAAAAAUUCUCCAUGUCAUUCUUAGCCUCAAUGCUCUCACUAUUGUGUUUUGAUUUUAUUGCUCUCAAAUUCUCUGUGAUGUCUUCUACUCUUUUCUAUCGUGUUGUGUGUUUUGUGUUGUGUCUUGUUCACAACUUCUUGUCUCUAUUUAUACUAUUGAGCUCCCUUGACUUUUUCUUCUGUGUUUUCUAUUUUGGGGCAUCGAUUCUUUAAAUUUCUCCAUGCUAGUAAGUGGUUUCUUUAAUUUCCUAUAGGCUAGUUGGUAGUUCCCUUGAUUUUUGCUUCCCACAAUCUAAUGGUAGACUAAGUCAUUUAUGUUGGAGAUUGACUAAUCAUGCCUCAGCUCGCAUACCUGCGAACUAUCAAAGUGUGAUAUGGGAACUAUGACGUACGUUCUCUAAGAAUGCAAGUUGUGGAUUGAGAGCUCUAUGUAAGCGAGCUGGUGAAGUGCAAGCUAUGCAUGCGAGCUGAGAACAUGAGCUGUGAAUAGAGAGCUUGCGAACUGAGAUGCUCGAACUGAGAGUUGCAAACUAGUGAAGUGCAAGUUGUCUCCAAGCAAUGCAUGCUAGCCGGUGACAUGUGAGCUAGGCAUGCUAGCUUAGAAUUGUGGACUGUGUGCUCCAUACUGCGAGAUCCCUACCAAAAAACGUUGCUUGUGAGCUGUAAAAUAUGCGAGCUAAGCUCUUAUUAGCGAAGUGAUAAUUGUGAGUUGUCUACGAGCAAUGCACGCGAGUUGCAGUUAAUUUUUUUAUGCGUGUCGACUUCAUUUUUUCUGUUUUCCUUUUCCUUUAUUUUUCCCAAUAGCUAGCUUGUUCCCGUCAGUCUUAAGGCUUGCAGCGCUGCUGCGACAUUGCUAUGGCAUUGAGUGGACUUCAGUAGCUACCUUCAAAUAUAAAUUUGCAUAUUUUAGCAUGAAAAAUUGACCAAACAUGUAAUAUUUAAGUAAAAACUUUCAAUAUCAAAUUUUCAACAUAAAUAUAC